rnacentral:rRNA from 1 species
AGCGAACGCUGGCGGCAGGCCUAACACAUGCAAGUCGAACGGACCCUUCGGGGUUAGUGGCGGACGGGUGAGUAACACGAGGGAACGUACCUUUUGGUUCGGAAUAGCUCUUGGAAACGGGAGGUAAUGCCGAAUGUGGCCUUAGGGGGAAAGAUUUAUCGCCAUUAGAGCGGCCCGCGUUGGGUUAGAUAGUUGGUGUGGUAAAGGCGCACCAAGUCUACGAACCAUAGCUGGUCUGAGAGGAUGAUCAGCCACACUGGGACUGAGACACGGUCCAGAUACCUACGGGAGGCAGCAAGGGGGAAUCUUGCGCAAUGGCCCAAAGACUGACGCAUCCAUGCCACGUGAAUGAUGAAGGUCUUAGGAUUGUAAAAUUCUUUUAGUAGGGACGAUAAUGACGGUACCUACAGAAAAAGCCCCGGCUAACUGCGUGCCAGCCGCCGCCGUAAAAC